GCUUACGGCCAUACCAGCCUGAAUACGCCUCAUCUUGUCUGAUCUCGGACGCAAAGCAAGGUCGGGCCUAGUCAGUACUUGGAUGGGAGACUAUUUGGGAAUACCACGUACUGUAAGCU
rnacentral:rRNA from 1 species